rnacentral:lncRNA from 1 species
GUGUUUGCUCUGUCUUGUCUAUGUGCAAGCUCACACUCCCACUUCCUCUAGAAAGUAAGCCCAAGUUUGACCACAUCCCAUCGUCUUCCCCUGUCUUCACUGAUAAACACAAGCACACACACACACACGCACAGGUAAACAGACACACUCAAUAAAUACAAGCACACACACAUACACUCCCUCUCUCCAUCCAGCCUAAGGGAAGGAGGCAGCCAAGCCAUGGAUCCAUGAAUUCCUCAUAACGCAAUCUGUCGGCUGAUCAAUAAUUCAAUUCUGUCUGUGAGCAAGCAUGUCUGGAUCCAAUCUCACCUGCACCUCCCCUCGGCCUCCCCUUAACAAGGUGGGCGUUCUGUCCUUGAGCCGAGUUGGGCUUAGCUGUGUGUGUGUGUGUGUGUGUGUGUCCACUGGUCAGUGUAUAGGUAGCCUAGCCAGUAACAAAAAGGUUGCUGGUUCAAAUCCCUGAGCCGACUAGGUGAAAAUUGUCGACGUGCCCUUGAGCAAGACACUUAACUCUAAUUGCUCCUGUAAGUCGCUCUGGAUAAGAGCAUCUGACUAAAAUGUAAAAUGUGUGUCAGUGUCCAUGGCUGUGUGUGUAUGAAUGGGUGUCCACGUUUGUGUGUCCACGGGUGAUUAUGUGUGUUUUUAAAUUCCACAGCAGAGUUUGUGUGUGAUGUGUGUGUGUGUGUGUGUGUACCCGUGGCCGGGGAGUUUUGUGUGUCCGUCCGAGUGGUUGGCAGAGUUUGUGUCUGUCGUGCGAGAGUUGUGUCUGUGUCCGCGGCAGAAUUUGUGUCUGUCCGUCGCGGCAGAGUUUGUGUCUGUCCGUCCGCGGCAGAAGUUGUGUGUGUCCGUCCGCGGCAGAGUUUGUGUCUGUCCGUCCGCGGCAGAGUUUUGUGCUGUCCGUCCGCGGCAGAGUUUGUGUCUGUCCGUCCGCGCAGAGUUUUGUUGUUUGUCGUCGAGGCCAGAGUUUGUGUCUGUCCGUCCGCGGCAGAGUUGGUCUGUCCGUAGCCGGCGAGUUUGUGUCUGUCCGUCCGCGGCAGAGUUUUGUCGUCGUCGCGGCGUGGAGAGUUUGUGUCGUCCGUCGCCGGCAGAGUUUGUGUGUGUCCGUCCGCGGCAGAGUUUGUGUGUGUUUCCGCGGCAGAGUUUGUGUGUGUCCGUCCGCAGGCAGAGUUUGUGUGUGUGUCUGUCCGUGGGGCAGAGUUUGUGUGGGUUGU